GACGAACGCUGGCGGCGUGCCUAAUACAUGCAAGUUGAGCGCUGAAGGUUGGUACUUGUACCAACUGGAUGAGCAGCGAACGGGUGAGUAACGCGUGGGGAAUCUGCCUUUGAGCGGGGGACAACAUUUGGAAACGAAUGCUAAUACCGCAUAAAAACUUUAAACACAAGUUUUAAGUUUGAAAGAUGCAAUUGCAUCACUCAAAGAUGAUCCCGCGUUGUAUUAGCUAGUUGGUGAGGUAAAGGCUCACCAAGGCGAUGAUACAUAGCCGACCUGAGAGGGGGAUCGGCCACAUUGGGACUGAGACACGGCCCAAACUCCUACGGGAGGCAGCAGUAGGGAAUCUUCGGCAAUGGACGAAAGUCUGACCGAGCAACGCCGCGUGAGUGAAGAAGGUUUUCGGAUCGUAAAACUCGGUUGGUAGAGAAGAACGUUGGUGAGAGUGGAAAGCUCAUCAAGUGACGGUAACUACCCAGAGAGAGACGGCUAACUACGUG
rnacentral:rRNA from 1 species